UACAGAGGGUGCAAGCGUUAAUCGGAAUUACUGGGCGUAAAGCGUGCGUAGACGGUUGCGUAAGUCAGAUGUGAAAGCCCCCGGGCUCAACCUGGGAAUUGCAUUCGAGACUGAAUAGCUAGGGUACGGUAGAGGGAAGCGGAAUUUCCGGUGUAGAGGUGAAAUUCGUAGAUAUCGGGAGGAACACCAGUGGCGAAGGCGGAGACCUGGGCCGAUACUGACGCUGAGGUGCGAAAGCGUGGGGAGCAAACAGG
rnacentral:rRNA from 1 species